rnacentral:rRNA from 1 species
GAUGAACGCUGGCGGCGUGCUUAACACAUGCAAGUCGAACGGGAUCCAUCAGGCUUUGCUUGGUGGUGAGAGUGGCGAACGGGUGAGUAAUGCGUGACCGACCUGCCCCAUACACCGGAAUAGCUCCUGGAAACGGGUGGUAAUGCCGGAUGCUCCGACUCCUCGCAUGGGGUGUCGGGAAAGAUUUCAUCGGUAUGGGAUGGGGUCGCGUCCUAUCAGGUAGUCGGCGGGGUAACGGCCCACCGAGCCUACGACGGGUAGCCGGCCUGAGAGGGCGACCGGCCACAUUGGGACUGAGAUACGGCCCAGACUCCUACGGGAGGCAGCAGUGGGGAAUAUUGCACAAUGGGCGCAAGCCUGAUGCAGCGACGCCGCGUGCGGGAUGACGGCCUUCGGGUUGUAAACCGCUUUUGAUCGGGAGCAAGCCUUCGGGUGAGUGUACCUUUCGAAUAAGCAC